rnacentral:lncRNA from 1 species
CUCCAUUUCAGAUGAUGUCGUCUUCAGAUGUUGUUGUCUACCUAACCUAUUAUAGUUAUUUGUUCUCAAUCUGUCAUUACUCCAAGCCCAUCUCAAAAGCCUACUUUCUUGAAUUGUAGGAUGGAGAAUAAUACUGCUAUAACAGACGUUGAGGCCAUAAAACAACAUCUACUUACACUUAAGCCAAGACAUGAUCAUGAGGUUUCUUUUCAAUUGCAUAGUUCAUAGUUGGAUUUUUACAAGAACAUUUGCUUCCCUGUUUGGAUGUCGUGAGUCACAACAAGGUAUGAGCUGCUGCUAUGUUUUCUAUAUUCUAUCUCAGUAUUUUUCUUCCCUUAAAAUCUUUGUACAAAUUAUUCCAUUUCAUGUUAGUUGAUACUUUGUGUUUGCAAACAAAGCUCAGACCUAUCUCUCUCAGGGCAUUACUUCCAUACCACACAUGAUUUUAUUUUCUUUGCAGACAUCAACGAUAGGGACCAUGCUAUUGAAUGCAUUAGCUGAUUCAGAUGCCAACGGGGAAUUCUGCGAAGAGACAUUUGUGGCCAAUGUGCAGGUAUGCACGAUAAUGUGUGUGUUUCGCAUUAUCCAUUUGUUAUUGAACCUUUGUCUCUAUUCUGUCAUCAAUCAAAGGCUUCAUGCUGAGAUUGAACCAACCAUGAAAAUGAGAACCGAAGAAAAGAUUAUUAUCUCUUUCUCCCAUCAUUGGGAUCAACCCUUUUAGGCUUUCAGGUUGAGCAGCGACUUUACAUAUAAACGGACCUCCGUAACAAUUUGUACAGUGCUAGGCAAUUGAAGAAAUAUGAUAGCUCUAAAAUGCAUGCCACUUUAUUUACAAUUCUGUGCAAUUAUGGAGCAGAUAUUGAGCCCACAUAGUGCACUUCAUUAUACAACAUAUAACAUGAACGAUAUGUAAUAUUUAUCUGUCAUUACUUGUCUGGCUCGAACUCAGUAGGACAUAUCUUUUCCUGCUCACAUGGUUUCUAAAGUCAGUGACUGGCAGUUUUGGCAACACAUGGUACAUGCGCUCGGAAUGAAGGCCUGGAUGUGCUGAACAGGUUUGGCACACACUACUGGACACACUUGGUUUGAUACUACGUAACCAAAUAGACUCUGGAUUUAACACAAUUCAGCUAUAUGGUCUCCCCAAUUUAUUUCAGAGGGCUACACACUCAUCAAAUCAGUGGAUCAGAUGGAAAUUAUGCUUCUGACCCAGCUGUUAAAAUAUACAAAGCUGCAUAAAUCAACUUGAACAUUUUAGAUGUCUCAUCAAGACCUCCUCAUGUGUCUCUGUUUAUAUUCACCCAUCGAGAUUUCUAUCUAUGUACUUUGCCAAUAUGUGUCAUAUAUAAUGUAAUUAACAAAUGGGCCUACAUAAAACCUUUAAUUGACUGCCACUCAACCAAGCUCUACAGUCUACUAUUUGUUCUUCAUCUUUAAUAAACAAAAAAAUGAAAAAUUUAGAUGAGUAAGAAAACAACUUUUUACUAUUUUAUCAUUGGUUAUCGUGCGUGCAAUUUUACUAGUUUCCUUGGUCUGAAAGCCUUACCAUCAUUUUCUUCUUGCAGGCGGCCAUGGCAAGAGCAUAUUGUGCAGAGGACGUGGAUGAGAAGAAACUUAUGGUUCUCAUUCAAUCUUUGUGGAACUCUCUUUAUGUGCGAUUGUGCAUUUGUUGGAACCUUUUUUCUGUGCACUUGCACAAGUAUUCUGUUGUGCACAUGUAAAAUUAUUUUGAUGUGUCCUUGUUAGGUGUUGAACCUUAAUGCGUGGAGUCAGUGGAUGAUGUAUUGUAUUUGAUGUGAUAUGCUAUUGAAAUGAAAUAUACAUUUUAUUUGCAAUCUUUUAUUUUGUUGUACUUAUUUUUAAUGGGCCUAUCUUGAGAUAUGCGUGCUUCUAGCAAAAAAAAUGCUU